AUUGAACGCUGGCGGCAUGCCUAACACAUGCAAGUCGAACGGCAGCACGGCAGUAGCAAUACUGUGGGUGGCGAGUGGCGGACGGGUGAGGAAUACGUCGGAAUCUGCCCAAUCGUGGGGGAUAACUAACCGAAAGGUUAGCUAAUACCGCAUACGACCGAGAGGUGAAAGCGGGGGACCGCAAGGCCUCGCGCGAUUGGAUGAGCCGACGUCGGAUUAGCUUGUUGGUGGGGUAAAGGCCUACCAAGGCAACGAUCCGUAGCUGGUCUGAGAGGAUGAUCAGCCACACUGGAACUGAGACACGGUCCAGACUCCUACGGGAGGCAGCAGUGGGGGAAUAUUGGACAAUGGGCGGAAGGCCUGAUCCAGCAAUGCCGCGUGUGUGAAGAAGGCCUCGG
rnacentral:rRNA from 1 species